rnacentral:ncRNA from 1 species
UCAAAAGCAUUGAAAAAGAGGAGUAGGAAUAUGGAAUAUUAAGAGAGGAAGAUUCGUUGGCUGUGAGAUCUUCUAUAGGAAGUGUUCUGAAGGUAGCUUUGGAGCUUCUUCACUGAAAAUAUAGUAGGUGGAGACGGUGUUCACGCAUCGUUAAAUUAUGAGUGCUUGUAUGAUAGUACAGGAAUAAAGGUGGUAACGCGCACGGUCGUCCUUUUU